AUGGAAAACUUCAGUGAAGGGAAUAGUAAUCACCCAGACAUUGUGUGGGUUUGCUUUCCUUCUUCUCCUGGAGGAAUGGAGGGUGUUGUUGACAGCCAGCCUAGAGCCCUCCAGUCUGCCUUCUGCACCUCUCCCAUGCACUACAGGAGCACCAAAGGUGAUGCUUGUUGUGACUCACAGAACAGGAACCAGAAGCGUGCAAGCUGGUAA
rnacentral:lncRNA from 1 species